AACGAACGCUGGCGGCAGGUCUUAGGCAUGCAAGUCGAACGGGUAUAGCAAUAUACCAGUGGCGCACGGGUGAGUAACGCGUGGGAACAUACCCUUUGCUGGGGAAUAACGUUUGGAAACGAACGCUAAUACCGCAUAAGCCGGAAACGGGAAAGAUUUAUCGGCGAAGGAUUGGCCCGCGUUGGAUUAGCUUGUUGGUGGGGUAAUGGCCCACCAAGGCAGUGAUCCAUAGCUGGUCUGAGGGGACGAUCAGCCACACUGGAACUGAGACACGGUCCAGACUCCUACGGGAGGCAGCAGCUAAGAAUAUUGGACAAUGGGGGAAACCCUGAUCCAGCCAUGCCGCGUGAGUGAAGAAGGCCUUCGGGUUGUAAAGCUCUUUUAAUCGUGACGAUGAUGACGGUAGCGAUAGAAAAAGCACCG
rnacentral:rRNA from 1 species